CUGAAGUUCUGGGUUGAUCGUUCUUGUAGAGAAUUGCGUGUGGUAUUCUAAUUGAGGUCUUGCUGCUGCAUUGUGAAACGCUGCUACCGUGUCCCAGAUCUGUCGCUUUUGACUGAUGACCUUCAGUGCUCAUGGUGUAUGGGUGUGCAACUUUUCAACUGAACUACGGGAUGGUGUACAGUCUGGUUUGUUGUUGCAGACUAUUGGUGACCUGGAUGAGUUUUCAAUCUAAGGGUGAUCUCCUAGAGACGCUUUGCUAACUUACAAAUGGCCGUGCUUAGGUUUGGCAAUGGUUAAUUGAUGUAGCUCAGUA